UCCAAUGUGGUGUAGUGGCUAACAUUGCUGUCUUUCAUGAGUACCCACUUUGAUAGUUACACAGCAGCCCGGGGUUCGAUUCCCCGCAUUGGAA